CUACGGGCUGCUGCAGGCGAGAAAACUUUGCAAUGUGCGAAAGCACGACAAGGUUAAUCCGAGUGGUUUCUGCUAAAGGAACCUUUUGACAGUCCUAGAAACACUGUUGAAUAAGGGGUGGGCAAGUUCUGGUGUCAGCCGCCGCGGUAAAACCAGCACCUCAAGUGGUCAGGAUGAUUAUUGGGCCUAAAGCAUCCGUAGCCGGCUCUGUAAGUUUUCGGUUAAAUCUGUACGCUCAACGUACAGGCUGCCGGGAAUACCGCAGAGCUAGGGAGUGGGAGAGGUAGACGGUACUCGGUAGGAAGGGGUAAAAUCCUUUGAUCUAUUGAUGACCACCUGUGGCGAAGGCGGUCUACCAGAACACGUUCGACGGUGAGGGAUGAAAGCUGGGGGAGCAAACAGGAUUAGAUACCCUUGUAGUC
rnacentral:rRNA from 1 species